rnacentral:rRNA from 1 species
CCUACGGGAGGCAGCAGUGGGGAAUAUUGGACAAUGGGGGAAACCCUAAUCCAGCGACGCCGCGUGUGUGAAGAAGGCCUGCGGGUUGUAAAGCACUUUUAGUGGGGAUGAAAAGCUCAGGGAUAACACCUCUGGGUCUUGACCUAACCCACAGAAAAAGCACCGGCUAACUCUGUGCCAGCAGCCGCGGUAAU